AACGAACGCUGGCGGCAUGCCUAACACAUGCAAGUCGAACGAGACCUUCGGGUCUAGUGGCGCACGGGUGCGUAACGCGUGGGAACCUGCCCUUAGGUUCGGAAUAACUCCCCGAAAGGGGUGCUAAUACCGGAUAAUGUCUUCGGACCAAAGAUUUAUCGCCUUUGGAUGGGCCCGCGUUGGAUUAGCUAGUUGGUAGGGUAAAAGCCUACCAAGGCGACGAUCCAUAGCUGGUCUGAGAGGAUGAUCAGCCACACUGGGACUGAGACACAGCCCAGACUCCUACGGGAGGCAGCAGUGGGGAACAUUGGACAAUGGGCGAAAGCCUGAUCCAGCAAUGCCGCGUGAGUGAUGAAGGCCUUAGGGUUGUAAAGCUCUUUUACCCGGGAUGAUAAUGACAGUACCGGGAGAAUAAGCUCCGGCUAACUCCGUG
rnacentral:rRNA from 1 species